GUCUAUAAUCAUACCACCCUGCACACGCCCAAGCGCCUCUAAACUGAGAAGCUAAGCAGGGUUGGGCCUGGUUAGGAUUUGGAUGGGAGAAAACAUAGACA
rnacentral:rRNA from 1 species